rnacentral:rRNA from 1 species
AAAAACUCCGGUGGUAUGAGAUGGGCCCGCGUCUGAUUAGCUAGUUGGCGGGGUAACGGCCCACCAAGGCGACGAUCAGUAGCCGACCUGAGAGGGUGACCGGCCACAUUGGGACUGAGACACGGCCCAAACUCCUACGGGAGGCAGCAGUGGGGAAUAUUGCACAAUGGGGGAAACCCUGAUGCAGCGACGCCGCGUGAGCGAUGAAGUAUUUCGGUAUGUAAAGCUCUAUCAGCAGGGAAGAAGAUGACGGUACCUGACUAAGAAGCCCCGGCUAACUACGUGCCAGCAGCCGCGGUAAUACGUAGGGGGCAAGCGUUAUCCGGAUUUACUGGGUGUAAAGGGAGCGUAGACGGCGGUGCAAGCCAGAUGUGAAAGCCCGGGGCUCAACCCCGGGACUGCAUUUGGAACUGUAUGGCUGGAGUGUCGGAGAGGCAGGCGGAAUUCCUAGUGUAGCGGUGAAAUGCGUAGAUAUUAGGAGGAACACCAGUGGCGAAGGCGGCCUGCUGGACGAUGACUGACGUUGAGGCUCGAAAGCGCGGGGAGCAAACAGGAUUAGAUACCCUGGUAGUCCACGCCGUA